rnacentral:lncRNA from 1 species
AGCUUGAACCCAGGACCUUUGUACUAAGCUACAUCCUCAGCUCCUUUUGAACGUUCUUGAGAUAGGGUCUCGCUAAGUCGUCAAAUUACCUAUGGUGGGCUUGAAUUUGCGACCCUCCUGCCCAAGCAUCCCAGAGUGCUGAGAUGAGAGGCAUGCGCCAUCACGCAAGGCAAACCUCAUUUCUGGAAGAAAUAAUGGACAUUCAAACAAAGAAGAAAAAUUGCCACAAUGAUCCCAUGGUGUCUUUGAUGAGAGUGCGUUCGCAAGGGGAGGGCGUUGGAGGAAAUGAGCACUUUUUGCACAUUUUAGCUUUUAUUGCGCUUGAGGCAAUGUUGGUGCUGAGGGCUCGCUAUUGCACGGGAGACCACGGCCCCAACCUCCUGCCAGGCCUUUUUCUGGCCAUAGCCACGCCCCCGAAGGAAGAUCAUUUAGAAAACCACGCCCAUAAACGCAAGAUCUUCGGACACGCCCCAAAGGAAGUGUCACAUCACGACAAGCCCCCAAUCGCGUCCCAGAGGGCGGGGACUAGCAGUCAUCUGAUUCGCGGUUGGAGGACGCGGCCGGUCUUCACCAAUCCGAAACCUCAAAGUCGCCUUCUCUUCCGCUUCCGGCAGGUCCCUCGCCGGAAAUGGAAGCUUGAUGCGUGGGCUUCAGUCACUGUUCUUCGCUGCCUUCAUGUUCCGAGGCUGGUUACUCUUCUAUCUGGCAUACCUAGCUCCGCGUUUCCUUGUCAUCUGGACAUCGGCGAGGGGUUGGAUCGAGGCUUUGCACACUGUGUGCCACCCUGAGCCUCACCCCGACUCCCAGGGCUCGUGUUUGUGCAGGUGGCCGUGAUGAUUGUUUUUCCUGUGUGUGUCCUUAAACACCUCGUGUCAAUAUUUUUUAUUUGCUUUUUUUUUUUUCUGUACCGGGGAUUGAACUCAGGACCUCGUGCUUGCCAGGUAGGCGCUGAGCAGUUGAACUACAUCCCUGGCCCGGUUUGUGUGUUUUAAAAACUUGUAAUGGUGUGGGUCAACAGAUGGAUGAAGGAGCACUAUGCAGCCAUAAAGAAGAGAAUCCUGUCUGCAGGAAAAUGGAUGAAACUGGAGGCCAUCGUGUGGAGUGGGAUAAACCGGACUCAUUCAGAUCUCAGGGGUUAUCUGUCAUAGGGAAUCUAGGGGGAAAAGGGGGGCAUGGGUGUGGCCAGACUUAGAGAAGAGGGGCUGGGACAGGGGAAAUGAUCAAAGUGUGUUACCUGCAUGUAUGGAUAUGCCGAAAUGAACCCACUGGUCUGUAUAAAUAAAAGGCAGUAAUUAAAAAAACUUGCAUUAGUAAAAAGCACCCCCCCCCAAAAAAAACCCUGCCAUAAUAGAAUGCAACUAUUCAUAGCCACCUUGCGGUGAUUUCACUAAGUCGCUAAAUUGCCCAGGCCAUGAUCCAACUUGCCGUCCUCCUGCCUAUCUCCCAGAGUGCAGCGAUUGGAGGUGUGUGCCACUGCCCCUGGCUAUCAGCAACUGUUAAUGAUUUUUUUGAGACAGGUUCUCGCUAUGUGUCCUCGAACUCAGGGCGAUCCUCCUGCCUCAGCCUCCCAAAUGCUGGGAUCACAGGCGUGCA